AGCGCCCCCCAGCGGCUCCGCGCGCCCCGCGGGGCGGGAACCCUGAGGGGCCGGGAGGGGUCCGGAGCACCGGGAGCGUCUGAGGGAGCCGGGAAAGGGUCUGGAGCACCGGGAGCGGCUGAGGGAGCCGGUAAAGGGCUCAGCCUGGAGAAAAGGAGGCUUGGGGGGACCUUGUGGCUCUCCUCUGACAGGAGGGAGCAGUCGAGGGGGGUCGGGCUUUGCACCCAAGGAACAGGGACAGGACAAGGACGGCCUCAAGCUGGGCCGCAGGAGGUUCAGGUUGGGUACUGGGGAAUAUUUCUUCCCUGAAGAGGUGGUCAGACCCUGGCACAGCUGCCCAGAGCAGUGGGCAUGGAGUGGUGGAAUCACCAUUCCUGAACGUGUUCAAAAUAUGUGUGGAUUAUGACACCUGGGGACAUGGUUUCAUAUGGCAAUGCUGGGGGAGUGGUGGGACUCAGUGAUCUCAGAGGGCUUUUUCGACCUUAAUGAUGCUGUGGUUCCAUGGUUCUCGGUUCCCUGCUGCAGUGCUCUGGAAGCAGAGCUCUCACAGGGUGCUGGCCACAGGCCUCCCCUCCUCUGGUGUGGGUCCUGCCGGCUGAACCCCUGGAACUGGCUUUGCCAGGGCUGCAGGAGCCAAGCUGUGAGCCUGCUUUAGAUCCCAGAAUUUUUAAAUGAAUACUAUUUUUGAGCUCUUCCCACACAUGCACAACUCAACAUCUCCGGCAGAUCGCCUCCAGCUGACAGCCCUGAGCCGCCUCCGCUCCCCUCCUGCCCUUGAGCUUGUUUCCAAUCCUGCCUGGGGAUGAAUUUUAAAACCUGAAUCCAUCCAUACAGUCAGAACCCGGGUCAGUCUGUUUGGAGGCUGUACAUGGAAUGAGAGAUUGGAGUGCUCAUUUGACCUCAGCCAUGCUAAAGAAGCAAAUGAUUGUCAAGAUCCAGCAGCUGGAGAUGAGAAUUCAAUGUUUGACAAGGAGGUGGCCUCUGUAUCCACCUGGUGCUGAUUUUCUGAGGCUACAGAUGAAAUCCCUGGGGAUAUCAAAGGCCUGUUUGGAACAAGUGGUGGCUCCCCCACCACCUGCAUGGGUGCAGCCUCACCUCAAGUCCAGGGGGCAGUUUUGGGCACCUCAGUAUAAGAAGGAUCUGAAGCUAUUGGAGUGUCCAAAGAUGGGACAUGGAAAUAGGGAAGGGUCUGGAUGGGCCACAGGAGGAGUGGCUGAGGUCUGUUCACCCUGGAGCCUGAGGUCAGACCCCACUGGGGGCUGCAGCUCCUCAUGAGGGGCAGCUCUGAUCUCUGCUCUCUGUGAGCAGGGACAGCACCCAGGGAAGGGCUGGAGCUGGGCCAGGGCAGGCUCAGGCUGGAGAUCAGGGAAAGGUUCUUCCCCCUGAGGGUGCUGGCACUGCCCAGGCUCCCCAGGGAAUGGGCACAGCCCCGAGGCUGCCAGAGCUCCAGGAGUGUUUGGACAAGGCUCUCAGGGGUGCACAGGGUGGGAUUGUUGUGGUCUCCUUGUGGGGCCAGGAGUUGGACCUGAUGAUCCUUGUGUGUCCUUUCCAGCUUAGAUGUUCUAUCUAUAAUUCUAUCAUUUUUUUUCAAAAAAAAAAAAAAUCUGGGGAAAAUUUAGGACAGCCACAGUAAAAAUUUCAUAUUGAAAUUAAAAUUUAUAUCUCAAAGGAAGAAAAGUACAACACAAUUUACUGUAUGUUUAUGAAUUAGGUACAUGUUCUUAUUUGAAUGGUGACAUAUAUUGUGUUGCUCUCUAAUGUUCUUCAUACAGUUUUUAUCCUUUUUAGUAAGUAUUUUUAAAAUAGGAAAAAGGAAUUAAAAUAGAGAAAUUAAAACUAUCAACAGUCCUCAGAUUUGUCAUUGCUCAGCAGAGUAACCUGGGAAGGUGUUGAGGGUUAGGUGUCCUUCCUUUUGUUCCUUCUCACCUAUAGAAUUUUCCCCGUUAGUUGGGGGACAGGGGACACCUGACUGCUGGUACUUACUGGGUGUUUGAGAAUGCAG
rnacentral:lncRNA from 1 species